rnacentral:misc_RNA from 1 species
AUGGUCUCACAGCGCAAGAAUUCUUUUGUGUGGCGAGAUCUUUCAUUUGAAACCAAAAGCAUGUGGACCUUUCUUGACUACUUGAGGCUUUACUGUUAUUGUCAUCUUCUAGACCUUGUGCUUGCUUUGAUACUGAUAACGGGUACCCUUGAGUAUGAUGUUCUACAUCUUGGAUAUCUUGGCUUUGCUCUGAUCUUCUUCCGGACGAGGCUUACGAUUUUGAAAAAGAAAAAUGAGAUAUUCAAGUAUCUUCGCAUAUACAAUUUUACUGUCAUAGUUCUCUCUCUGGCCUAUCAGUCUCCAUUUAUCGGUGAUUUUAAUGCGGGAAAAUGUGAAACUGUAGAUUACAUUUACGAAGUGAUUGGAUUUUAUAAAUAUGAUUAUGGCUUUCGCAUUACCUCAAGAUCAGCUUUGGUCGAGAUCAUAAUCUUUGUGCUUGUCUCACUGCAAUCGUACAUGUUCUCUUCCCCAGAAUUCGAAUAUGUGUUCCGUUAUCUUGAGGCGGAACAAAUUGGUGCUGUUGUA